UAAUAAAAAAAUGAUAUUAAAAGAUAUCUUUGGCUCCAAUUUUGAAUCUACUUUGAAGAAAACAAUUAACGAGUCCAUAAGCGAUGAUAAAUCAAAUUGUAAAGUAGACAUGAAUGGAGAUGUAUACGAUAAUAAAUCAGAUUACAAAGUAGAUACAAAUGAGUCCGAUUAUAGGAGUGGGUAUAAUGAGAGUGACAUGAUAAAACAGUAUACUGAUAAUAAGAAAAAGAAUGAAAAUGGUGAAACAGAAGAAACAUUAAACACUACUGUUAUGGCAAAUGAGAACACAAAUAAACAAGGGCAUGAAAAAUGUACACAAUAUCGUGAAGUUAACAAAAAUGAAUUGAGAGAUAUAGUGUUGAAUGGAGAGCAUGCAAAGUACAAUGAAAAAGACGAAUUUAAAAGAAAACAGCAGUUACAUGAAAAAAGGAAACAGACGAAUUACUGUUCUUACAGUGAUUAUGUAAAGAGAACUAAAGAAGGUAAUAAUAUUGUUGAUCCUAAUAUACAAUAUUUGUUACAGUAUAGUGAAAGUGUAGAUAAUUUUAAUUUUUAUAAUGAAGAAAAGCUUGAUGAAUUGGUUAAUAAUAAUUCAGGUGUUGGUGAUAAUAAGGCGAUGGGCGAGAGUAUUAACAUAAAUGAUGAACAGAAUAAUGAAAAGAUUGACAACAAAAGCGUGGACUCACGUGAUAACAAAAGUGUGAACUCACGUGAUAACAUAAGUAUUCAUUUUUGUGAUAAUAGGAGUGUGAAGUCACGUGAUAACAUAAGUAUUCAUUUUUGUGAUAACAGGAGUGUGAAGUCACGUGAUAACAGGAGUGUGAAGUCACGUGAUAACAUAAGUAUUCAUUUACGCGAUAACAGAAGUGUGAACUCACAUGACAAUAGAAGUGUGAAGUUACGUGACAACAAAAACGAUAACAAAGACGAUAAUAAGAAUAUGACGAAAUACACGAAUGAUAAGUUUUUAAUAUUUAAAGGGAAUACCCAUACAUCUUUUAAUGACACUACAAGUAAUGUAAAUACUAAAGGGCAAGACAAUGAUUACCAUUUAAAUCAUAUGGAACAGGAAGGGCAUGAAAAUGUACAAUAUUCUGAAUCGAAUGAUUCUUUAAUUAAAAAAGUGAGUACUGCUGAAAACGAUGAUAGUAAAAGUUAUAGUGUAAAAAAGAGAAAAAUAAAAAAUUUGUUAUUUGGUAUGGUUAGUGGUAUUAUAAAUGAUUCCAGUAAUGCUAGCAACAAUGCAAGUAAUUUUAAUCGAAACGAGAACAAAAACAAUUUCGACAGUAACAGCCACAACAACAAUUUCGACAGUAACAGCCACAACAACAAUUUCGACAGUAGCAGCCAUAACGAUAACUUCAAUCAAAACGACCUUAACAACAAUUUCGACAGCAAUAACCACAACGAUAACUUUCAAAACCUGGACACAUACUUAACUAGUACAGAACCCAAUGAAAUAAAAAAAACGUCGAAUGAAUUUGAUAAAAAAAGCAUUAGUAACAUAUCGUGUGGUAAUAGUGAUUACUCUAAGGAUAUGAUGUAUCAGAGUAUUAAUGAAACGCUAAACAGUAGUCAAACAGUUAUGUCAAAAAGAAGUAGAUGCAAUUUAAAAAAAUCACACAAUUCAUCUUUAUAUGAUCUUGCAGAUGUACCUCCACUAUUUAAUUUUGUUAAUUGUUGUUCUAUUGUUUUAGGAGCACAAAUAAUAUAUGCAACAGACGAAACUUACGGUAAAUGUGAAAACAUAUUAAAAGAUAAACCUUUUAAUACGAGUUUAGAUAAAGGGUAUUAUGAAUAUGUAUCUAACGAUAUGUACAACCAAUUUUAUUAUUAUAACAAUAAUGAGGUUAUUUGUGAUAAUAAUAUAAAUUGUAAUAACGAUAUAAAUUGUAAUAACGAUAUAAAUGGCAAUUCUGGUAUUCCCUAUGUUAAUAAUAUAUAUAAUUCAAAUAGUAUGUAUAAUCAUGUUAAUGGAGAGGGUAUAUAUACAGAUGAUCUGGGUACAGAUAGCAUGAACAGUGCUAGUGUUUAUGGUAUGAGUGGUAACUAUAUGAAUAAACCCAGUUAUAUACACACAGGUAAUCAUACGAAUAAUACUGAAGGUAAUAUAUCGUCACUACCUUUAUGCAUAUCUAAGAAGUAUGAAUGUCCCGGAUGGCUAACGAAAAGAAGAAUAAAAAAAUAUUUUGAUUUUUGUAUAAUAAAAUUAUGUAAUCCUACUUUAAUAAAGGGUAUAGAUAUAGACACAAAGAAUUUU
rnacentral:lncRNA from 1 species